rnacentral:rRNA from 1 species
AUGGACGGCUGCCGCUCCUUCGUGCCUACCCUCGCCGCCCCGGAUCGUUUCCCGCCGGGGCGCUUCUCCCUGCAGCGCGGCGACGACGACUGGUUCCGGUCCCUUGGAAGCCGUCAUGGCCUGGUGCUAAUCUUGAACAGACCCACGAACCAGUUGCUGGUCUGGGACCCCGUCACCGGCGACAAGCACUGGAUUGCCGUUCCCCCGGGAUUCGAGUGCGACACCGACAACCCGAUCGGCGGGGCGGUGCUUCGCUCUGCCUUAGACGACCGCCACUUCCUGGUGGCCUUGGUAAGCACCACCGAGAAACAAGACCAUACAAGAGCCAUCGCCAGCGCUUACUUGUCGGAGACCAAUACAUGGAGUGAUAUAAUCUCAACACCGCUUCCACCGGCAUGCGAAUCCCGCUUCCAAUUGAAAGCAGAAGACUUGCCACCGGUUGAAUGUCCGACCAUGAUUUAUUCGAGCAUACCUGCUGUGCUGGUUGGGGAUUCCCUUUACUGGUGGCUUCGGGAUAGUUCGUACAACAUCCUCCAAUUUGAUUUGGAUAGGGACAGCCUAGCCGUGAUACCUCCACCGGUGGACUUGUAUGACAGUCAUGUCAACUUCUCGGUUAUGCGGGCAGAUGAUGGAGGGCUUGGUUUCCUAUUUGUAUCAAAGUUCAGUGUUCAGUUGUGGAAGACGAAGGUCAUUUGUGACUGUUUUGCUUCGUGGGUGUUGGGAAGAACAAUUGAAACGGACAAGCUAUUUCCGCUGGAUUCAAAGGAGAGAGAGUCUCCAAUGAUAGUAGGAUUUGCUGAGGAGAAUAAUGUGGCUCUCAUGUGGACAGAAGGCAGUCUCUUCAUGUUCCAGCUUGAGUCGUUGCAGCUCAAGAAGCUCGUGGAAACCAGAAUCUCUUUCUAUCACCCAUUCGAAAGUGUCUAUACUGCAGGUAUCUACAUUUCCAUUCUGGUGGCUGAGAUGCAGAAAUGGUCUGUCGAGUAUAGUUCCUUCCAUCUGCAUGCUCGACAUGGAAAACUCAACCUCUAUCUAGCAGCAUACAGUGUUCAGCUCUGA